AAUAAGCAAAACUAACUUGAUUCGGAUUAUUGGUGAAAAUAUUUUUUAAAAUGAUGCAUUCGUGUGACCUUGAAUUAUGUACAUGCCCUCUGCCGUGUUUCUGCAUGGCCUUUUACUGUUUGAAAUCGAGUGAAAUUAAAUUGUGCACUGUGCCUUUAAGACUCAGGUGUGGCUUACCUGAGAGAGGAAGUGGUCAUUAUUUAGAGAGGAAGAAGAUGGCCGCUCGAAGAGCAAAAUGGCUGCCGCUAGCUGGUAAAAAUAGUUUGUAACUGUUUAUCUCUUACAGUUUUGCACCUAGAUAUAAAAUAAACCUCACCUUAUUUGGACUUGGCUUUCUUAGGGGAGGUCACACAAGACCCAACUGGAAAGAAGAGCCGAAGUUUGCGUAAACAUCAUACUGACCACCCUGUCUGUUCCACUGCAAUAGAACCUGAAUGGGCAGGUAUCUGUGGCCGGCUAUACAGCUCAGCUAAAAAUCACACACAUGGCUUGUUAAAAACGAGCAGAGAGGCCUAGGAACCCCUGGAACCCGGCGCGUGUUUCCGGGGGGGCCUGGUUAGCUGCUGCGCGAGCCGGUGCUGCUUCAGGACUGCUGAAAGGCGUUAGCCUGCAGCGACGCGGGGCUCUGUGCGGAGUGGCUGGUUAAUUGCGCUGUGAUUGACAGCUCUUGUGCAAGUGAGCCCUGCAGUCCACAGGCUUUGUACUGUGGGAGGAAACCGGAGCACCUGCAUUAACUCCAUGUGGGCACGUGGACUCAAACCCGCAACCUCCUUUUUACAAGGCACCAGUGCUAACCACCGCACAACCGAAAUCCUGUUUGAGAAUGGAUGUGCGUGUCAGCCGCUGUUUCUGCACCGCCCCCCCACCCCUGCACCCCCCCGCGGCCCCGCCGCGUUACACACGGACAGGAGAGGUCAUUAGGGGAAGAGGGAUGAUGGGGGGGGCGGGCUGGAGUGGGGCGGGGGCCUUAUCUCCCCUCUACUCUUUCGCUUUUGUUUCAGGGGCUCCCUGUACAAGCACCCCGUUAAUCAGCCGAGGACCUCCUCCACCGGGCCACAGUCAGGCCCGUCCUGGGACGCCCGCUCCUUCUGGAGCACCCGCUGUCCUCGCGGGACGACGGGGCCGGGCCCCCCGUGAAUCCCCCUCCCUCACAGGAAAU